AGAUAUCCCAUAGCGUAAGCUAGUAAGACCCCUUGAAGACGACGAGGUUGAUAGGUCAGGAGUGUAAGCAUGGCAACAUGUUGAGCGGACUGAUACUAAUAGGUCGAGGGCUUGACCAGAA
rnacentral:rRNA from 1 species